AGAGUUUGAUCCUGGCUCAGGAUGAACGCUAGCUACAGGCUUAACACAUGCAAGUCGAGGGGCAGCGGGAUUGAAGCUUGCUUCAAUCGCCGGCGACCGGCGCACGGGUGAGUAACGCGUAUCCAACCUUCCGUUUACUCAGGGAUAGCCUUUCGAAAGAAAGAUUAAUACCUGAUAGUAUGGUAAGAUUGCAUGGUAAUACCAUUAAAGAUUCAUUGGUAAACGAUGGGGAUGCGUUCCAUUAGGUAGUAGGCGGGGUAACGGCCCACCUAGCCGACGAUGGAUAGGGGUUCUGAGAGGAAGGUCCCCCACAUUGGAACUGAGACACGGUCCAAACUCCUACGGGAGGCAGCAGUGAGGAAUAUUGGUCAAUGGGCGAGAGCCUGAACCAGCCAAGUAGCGUGAAGGAUGACUGCCCUAUGGGUUGUAAACUUCUUUUAUAAAGGAAUAAAGUCGGGUAUGGAUACCCGUUUGCAUGUACUUUAUGAAUAAGGAUCGGCUAACUCCGUGCCAGCAGCCGCGGUAAUACGGAGGAUCCGAGCGUUAUCCGGAUUUAUUGGGUUUAAAGGGAGCGUAGGUGGAUUGUUAAGUCAGUUGUGAAAGUUUGCGGCUCAACCGUAAAAUUGCAGUUGAAACUGGCAGUCUUGAGUACAGUAGAGGUGGGCGGAAUUCGUGGUGUAGCGGUGAAAUGCUUAGAUAUCACGAAGAACUCCGAUUGCGAAGGCAGCUCACUAGACUGCAACUGACACUGAUGCUCGAAAGUGUGGGUAUCAAACAGGAUUAGAUACCCUGGUAGUCCACACAGUAAACGAUGAAUACUCGCUGUUUGCGAUAUACAGUAAGCGGCCAAGCGAAAGCAUUAAGUAUUCCACCUGGGGAGUACGCCGGCAACGGUGAAACUCAAAGGAAUUGACGGGGGCCCG
rnacentral:rRNA from 1 species